rnacentral:rRNA from 1 species
AGUGAACGCUGGCGGUAGGCCUAACACAUGCAAGUCGAACGGCAGCACAGUAAGAGCUUGCGCUUACGGGGGGCGAGUGGCGGACGGGUGAGGAAUACAACGGAAUCUACUUUUUGGGGGGGGAUAACGUAGGGGAACUUACGCUAAUACCGCAUACGACGUACGGGGGAAAGCAGGGGAAAGUCGGAGCGGGCGGGGAUGGACGAGCGGAUGACGGUUUAGCUAGUGGGGGGGGUAAAGGCCAAGCCAGGGGACGAUACGUAGCCGGUCUGAGAGGAUGGUCGGCCGCCCGGGAACUGAGCCGCGCUCCAGACUCCUACGGGAGGCCGCAGUGGGCAAUGUUGGACAAUGGGCGCAAGCCUGGUCCAGCCAUCCCGCGUGGGUGAAGACGGCCUUCGGGUUGUAAAGCCCUUUUGUUGGGAAAGAAACGCAGCCGCUUGAUACCCCGCUGUUCUGACGGUACCCAGAGAAUAAGCACCGGCUAACUUCGUG